UUUCCGUAGGUGAACCUGCGGAAGGAUCAUUAUUGUAUAACCGAGGUGCGAGGGCUGUCGCUGAACCGAAAGGUCGUGCACGCCCGAGUGCCCUCACACACAUCCAUCUGACCCCUAUGUGCACCACCGCGUGGGUCCCCCUUUGGCUUGUUCGGAGGGGGGCUUACGUUUUCACACAAACAUUGUAUGCAGUGUAGAAUGUAUUUUUUGUUUUUGCGAUCACGCAAUCAAUACAACUUUCAACAACGGAUCUCUUGGCUCUC
rnacentral:misc_RNA from 1 species